rnacentral:rRNA from 1 species
GACGAACGCUGGCGGCGUGCUUAACACAUGCAAGUCGAACGGAAAGGCCCUGCUGUUGUGGGGUGCUCGAGUGGCGAACGGGUGAGUAACACGUGAGUAACCUGCCCUUGACUUUGGGAUAACUUCAGGAAACUGGGGCUAAUACCGGAUAGGAGCUCCUGCUGCAUGGUGGGGGUUGGAAAGUUUCGGCGGUUGGGGAUGGACUCGCGGCUUAUCAGCUUGUUGGUGGGGUAGUGGCUUACCAAGGCUUUGACGGGUAGCCGGCCUGAGAGGGUGACCGGCCACAUUGGGACUGAGAUACGGCCCAGACUCCUACGGGAGGCAGCAGUGGGGAAUAUUGCACAAUGGGCGGAAGCCUGAUGCAGCAACGCCGCGUGCGGGAUGACGGCCUUCGGGUUGUAAACCGCUUUCGCCUGUGACGAGGCGUGAGUGACGGUAAUGGGUAAAGAAGCACCGGCUAACUACGUG